ensembl:lncRNA
GGGAUCCUUCCCUUUGGAGUUUUCUACUGUAAGCUUAGGACAUGGAUCAUCUUUACCUUGCUGAAAUUUGAGUCAGUCCAAGGAGAAGUGAUGGUAAUUCACGUGUCUCUAAGAGGAAUGACCAUCCAGUAGUGCUUCCCCUGUCCUUAACAGGAUUCCAGGAAGUAGAGAAAAACAAGCAGUCAGAGAUGAGAAAUCAUCCCUCGCAUUCCCAAUAAGCCUUGGCCUUUCCAGUGAUGCAGAGGGCAAUUACUGUAAUCUUUACUCUCUAUAAAGUGCAGGAGAGAUGUCAGCAGUCACCCGUGACAAGGAUAAAGCAGGACAGGCAAUGUGGCAACUGAAGAGAAAAAGCUGUAAUGCCAUAGCAAAUGUAUCUACUGCUAUUAUUUGCUCUCAUGAGUGGAAAUUAAAAUUAAAAAAGCACUUGUACAAGCUGUUGUCAUUACAGGUAACAGAACUGAUACCCUCUAGAGUGCAUAAGUGCCGAUGCACAACUAAAGUGUCCCCUAGAUGAACUUCUGUACAAUUGCCUUCUCAUAGAAAAGACAAGAAUUUCUGAAAUUUGCCAUAUACACAGUUGAAAUAUUAACUUGUCAUAUGUAGUGCCACUGACAAGAGUUCAUUGCAGCAUUCAGCCUGAACUGAAGAAGUUACCUGCAAGUUUGGUCAGUAAAUACCUACAUUUGUGUUCCUUAAACCAGAGGCAUGCCCUACCCCUAUUACUCUGAAACUCCACAGCUUAAUCCUCAAUAUUACUGAGAAGCUCAAAGAUAGUAGCUAUAGUUUCAUGGUUCUUUGUUGCUAAAGUGAAGGAAAUUGAGAAGGAUGAUGAUGGUGUAGCUUAAAACAUGGCAGCUAGUUAAAAAAAAAAAAUACCAAUAAUGAAAUGGAGCUUUUGUUACUAACGCAUUUCAGUAGCAUGAAAAAAGUGUUAUGUUGAUGAUGAGGAGAAUUUGCUACGUAUUAUAGUCUUAACUAAUAAAAUGCUACUAUAAUGCU